rnacentral:rRNA from 1 species
AGCUGUGGACUACACCAUUAGGUGUAGUGGUAGGAGAGCGUUCUAAGGGCGUUGAAGGUCGAUCGUGAGGACGGCUGGAGCGCUUAGAAGUGAGAAUGCCGGUAUGAGUAGCGAAAGACAGGUGAGAAUCCUGUCCACCGUAUGACUAAGGUUUCCUGGGGAAGGCUCGUCCGCCCAGGGUUAGUCGGGACCUAAGCCGAGGCCGAUAGGCGUAGGCGAUGGACAACAGGUUGAUAUUCCU